rnacentral:rRNA from 1 species
UACAGAGGGGGCGAGCGUUGUUCGGAAUUACUGGGCGUAAAGGGCGCGUAGGCGGCCUUCUAAGUCGAACGUGAAAUCCCCGGGCUCAACCCGGGAACUGCGUCCGAUACUGGAUGGCUUGAGAUUGGGAGAGGGAUGCGGAAUUCCAGGUGUAGCGGUGAAAUGCGUAGAUAUCUGGAGGAACACCGGUGGCGAAGGCGGCGUUCUGGACUGCAACUGACACUGAGGAACGAAAGCCAGGGGAGCAAACGGG